rnacentral:rRNA from 1 species
GUGCCAGCAGCCGCGGUAAUACGGAGGGUGCAAGCGUUAUCCGGAUUUACUGGGUUUAAAGGGUGUGUAGGCGGGUCUUUAAGUCAGUGGUGAAAUCUCCGAGCUCAACUUGGAAACUGCCAUUGAUACUAUUGAUCUUGAAUUCUGUUGAGGUUGGCGGAAUAAGUCAUGUAGCGGUGAAAUGCAUAGAUAUGACUUAGAACACCGAUUGCGAAGGCAGCUAACUAAGCAGAUAUUGACGCUGAGGCACGAAAGCGUGGGGAUCAAACAGGAUUAGAUACCCCGGUAGUCC